GGUGAACCUGCGGAAGGAUCAUUACAGAGAACCUGCCCUUCGGGGUAGAUCUCCCACCCUUUGUUUACCUUACCUUUGUUGCUUUGGCAGGCCCGUCCUCCGGGACCGCCGGCUUCGGCUGGCCUGCGCCUGCCAGAGGACCCCCAACUCUUGUUUAAUUGUCGUCUGAGUACCAAAAUAAUAAGUUAAAACUUUCAACAACGGAUCUCUUGGUUCUGGCAUCGAUGAAGAACGCAGCGAAAUGCGAUAAGUAAUGUGAAUUGCAGAUUUCAGUGAAUCAUCGAAUUUUUGAACGCACAUUGCGCCCUCUGGUAUUCCGGGGGGCAUGCCUGUUCGAGCGUCAUUACAACCCUCAAGCUCUGCUUGGUAUUGGGCGUCGCCGGGUUCCCGGCGCGCCUCAAAGUCAGUGGCGGUGCCGUCCGGCUUCAAGCGUAGUAAUCUACUCUCGCUCUGGAGCUCCGGGCGGUUGCCUGCCAGCAACCCCAAUU
rnacentral:rRNA from 1 species